rnacentral:rRNA from 1 species
GAUGAACGCUGGCGGCGUGCCUAAUACAUGCAAGUCGAGCGAACGGACGGGAAGCUUGCUUCUCUGAUGUUAGCGGCGGACGGGUGAGUAACACGUGGAUAACCUACCUAUAAGACUGGGAUAACUUCGGGAAACCGGAGCUAAUACCGGAUAAUAUUUUGAACCGCAUGGUUCAAAAGUGAAAGACGGUCUUGCUGUCACUUAUAGAUGGAUCCGCGCUGCAUUAGCUAGUUGGUAAGGUAACGGCUUACCAAGGCAACGAUGCAUAGCCGACCUGAGAGGGUGAUCGGCCACACUGGAACUGAGACACGGUCCAGACUCCUACGGGAGGCAGCAGUAGGGAAUCUUCCGCAAUGGGCGAAAGCCUGACGGAGCAACGCCGCGUGAGUGAUGAAGGUCUUCGGAUCGUAAAACUCUGUUAUUAGGGAAGAACAUAUGUGUAAGUAACUGUGCACAUCUUGACGGUACCUAAUCAGAAGGCCACGGCUAACUACGUG